GAGGGUAUAGCUCAGUGGUAGAGUAUAUGCCUAGCAUGCAUGAGGUCCUGGGUUCAAUCCCCAGUACCUCCA
rnacentral:tRNA from 1 species